UACGAAGGGGGCUAGCGUUGCUCGGAAUCACUGGGCGUAAAGCGCACGUAGGCGGCUUUCUAAGUCAGGGGUGAAAUCCUGGAGCUCAACUCCAGAACUGCCUUUGAUACUGGAGAGCUUGAGUCCGGGAGAGGUGAGUGGAACUCCGAGUGUAGAGGUGAAAUUCGUAGAUAUUCGGAAGAACUCCAGUGGCGAAGGCGGCUCACUGGCCCGGUACUGACGCUGAUGUGCGAAAGCGUGGGGAGCAAACAGG
rnacentral:rRNA from 1 species